GAUGAACGCUAGCGGCAGGCUUAAUACAUGCAAGUCGAGGGGGCAGCAAUGUCACCGGCGAACGGGUGCGUAACGCGUAUGCAACCUACCUACAUCAGGGGGAUAGCCCUAGGAAACUGGGAUUAACACCGCAUAACAUAUGACAAGGCAUCUUGUUAUAUUGAAAUAUUUAUAGGAUGUAGAUGGGCAUGCGUAGGAUUAGCUAGUUGGUAAGGUAACGGCUUACCAAGGCUACGAUCCUUAGGGGCUCUGAGAGGAGUAUCCCCCACACUGGCACUGAGAUACGGGCCAGACUCCUACGGGAGGCAGCAGUAGGGAAUAUUGGGCAAUGGAGGCAACUCUGACCCAGCCAUGCCGCGUGCAGGAAGACGGUCCUCUGGAUUGUAAACUGCUUUUGAAUGGGAAGAAUGUGUGGUUUGCGAGCUAUAAUGACGGUACCAUUAGAAUAAGCCACGGCUAACUACGUGCCAGCCGCCGCCGUAA
rnacentral:rRNA from 1 species